rnacentral:lncRNA from 1 species
AGCAUAAAAAAUUAUUAUUUUAAAUUUUAUUUUAUUAAAAAAUUAUACAUAUAUUAUUAUUUCAGUAUCAGAGUAGGAUUACUAUAUUCUUAUGAGUAUAGAACUUUUCGUACUCAUAAGUUAUUUUCGAUGACAGAACUUUCGAAUCGACGAUCCGUUUCGUUAAAUAUGAUAUAGAGUAUUUGAUACUCUUAAGAAAAAAUUUCGUAAGUUUUCGAAAUAAUAAUAAAGUCUAUCAAGCAGGUAUACAAUGAACAAUCAAAAUCGAACGAGGUUCUAAAGAUGUAUGAUCUGAUCCUUCAAUUUAAAAUCGGAGUUAUUGAUCUUUAUCUAUAUAGUGAAUAGAAUUUUCUAUGAACAAUUCAGCUGAUUCUGAUUCUUUUACACCGUAAACUAGCAAGUAUUUCAUACCGGCCAUUAAAAAUUGUCAAUUUUCAGAUCUUUUAAUCAUACGGUAGAUGAUGUUAAAAAAUUAUAAAAUUUGAUUUCUAAAAGUUUUAAAUACUCUAAAUAAUAUUUAACGACAUGCAUGGAUCGUCGAUUCGAAAGCUCUAUCAUCGAAAAUAACUUAUGAGUGCGAAAAUGAUUGUACUUAUAAAAGUACAAUAGCCAGACUCUCAGUAUCAUAUUAAAUUUUAGAUCAAAUUUAGUAAAUAUAAGUUUUCAAGUUUCACUUUUUAUAAGACUAAUAUAUGCAAUAG